CUUCGACCUGAGAUUGGACGAGAUUACCCGCUGAAUUUAAGCAUAU
rnacentral:rRNA from 1 species